UACGUAUGGUGCAAGCGUUAUCCGGAUUUACUGGGCGUAAAGGGAGCGCAGGCGGCGCGCCAAGUCUGAUGUGAAACCCCGGGGCUCAACCCCGGGCAUGCAUUGGAAACUGGCGGGCUGGAGUGCCGGAGAGGUAAGCGGAAUUCCUAGUGUAGCGGUGAAAUGCGUAGAUAUUAGGAGGAACCCCAGUGGCGAAGGCGGCUUACUGGACGGCAACUGACGCUGAGGCUCGAAAGCGUGGGGAGCAAACAGG
rnacentral:rRNA from 1 species